rnacentral:rRNA from 1 species
UACGGAGGUCUCAAGCGUUGUUCGGAUUCAUUGGGCGUAAAGGGCUCGUAGGCGGCCAACUAAGUCAGACGUGAAAUCCCUCGGCUUAACCGGGGAACUGCAUCUGAUACUGGAUGGCUUGAGUUCGGGAGAGGGAUGCGGAAUUCCAGGUGUAGCGGUGAAAUGCGUAGAUAUCUGGAGGAACACCGGUGGCGAAGGCGGCAUCCUGGACCGACACUGACGCUGAGGAGCGAAAGCCAGGGGAGCAAACGGG